GGGGCUGGGCGGCAUGCUUAACAUGCAAGUCGAACGGUAGAGCAGCAAUGCUUGAGAGUGGCGAACGGGUGAGUAAUAUAUCGGAACGUGCCCAGUCGUGGGGGAUAACGUAGAGAAAUUUACGCUAAUACCGCAUACGAUCUAAGGAUGAAAGCGGGGGAUUCGCAAGAACCUCGCGCGAUUGGAGCGGCUGAUAUCAGAUUAGGUUGUUGGUGAGGUAAAAGCUCACCAAGCCGACGAUCUGUAGCUGGUUUGAGAGAACGACCAGCCACACUGGGACUGAGACACGGCCCAGACUCCUACGGGAGGCAGCAGUGGGGAAUUUUGGACAAUGGGCGAAAGCCUGAUCCAGCAAUGCCGCGUGUGGGAAGAAGGCCUUCGGGUUGUAAACCACUUUUGUACGGAACGAAACGGUCUGCUUUAAUACAGUGGGCUAAUGACGGUACCGUAAGAAUAAGCACCGGCUAACUACGUGCCAGCAGCCGCGGUAAUACGUAGGGUGCGAGCGUUAAUCGGAAUUACUGGGCGUAAAGCGUGCGCAGGCGGUUAUAUAAGACAGUUGUGAAAUCCCCGGGCUCAACCUGGGAAUUGCAUCUGUGACUGUAUAGCUAGAGUACGGUAGAGGGGGAUGGAAUUCCGCGUGUAGCAGUGAAAUGCGUAGAUAUGCGGAGGAACACCGAUGGCGAAGGCAAUCCCCUGGACCUGUACUGACGCUCAUGCACGAAAGCGUGGGGAGCAAACAGGAUUAGAUACGCUGGUAGUCCACGCCCUAAACGAUGUCAACUGGUUGUUGGGUGCAUUAGUACUCAGUAACGAAGCUAACGCGUGAAGUUGACCGCCUGGGGAGUACGGCCGCAAGGUUGAAACUCAAAGGAAUUGACGGGGACCCGCACAAGCGGUGGAUGAUGUGGUUUAAUUCGAUGCAACGCGAAAAACCUUACCUACCUUUGACAUGUAUGGAAUUCGCCAGAGAUGGCUUAGUGCUCGAAAGAGAGCAUAACACAGGUGCUGCAUGGCCUGUCGUCAGCUCGUGUCGUGAGAAUGUUGGUUAAGUCCGGCAACGAGCGCAAACCCUGGUCAUCAGCUGCUACAUUUAGUGAUCACUCUUAUUGAAACUGCCUGUUGACAAAACCGCAGAUGUGGCGAUGACGUCAAGUCGUCAUGCGUUAUCGUUAGGCUAGCACGGUUGUCAUGCACUGUCAGAUCGCCUCGCCAAGUGUGGAUCCGAUUACGCAUAACCGAUUCGCU
rnacentral:rRNA from 1 species